GCAAACAGGAUUAGAUACCCUGGUAGUCCACGCUGUAAACGAUGAAUACUAGGUGUCGGGUGGCAAAGCCAUUCGGUGCCGCAGCUAACGCAAUAAGUAUUCCACCUGGGGAGUACGUUCGCAAGAAUGAAACUCAAAGGAAUUGACGGGGACCCGCACAAGCGGUGGAGCAUGUGGUUUAAUUCGACGCAACGCGAAGAACCUUACCAAGUCUUGACAUCCUUUUGACCGGUCGGUAAUGCGACCUUCUCUUCGGAGCAAAAGUGACAGGUGGUGCAUGGUUGUCGUCAGCUCGUGUCGUGAGAUGUUGGGUUAAGUCCCGCAACGAGCGCAACCCUUAUCUUUAGUAGCCAGCAUUUUAAGAUGGGCACUCUAGAGAGACUGCCAGGGAUAACCUGGAGGAAGGUGGGGAUGACGUCAAAUCAUCAUGCCCCUUAUGACUUGGGCUACACACGUGCUACAAUGGCGUAAACAAAGAGAAGCAAGACUGUGAAGUGGAGCAAAUCUCAAAAAUAACGUCUCAGUUCGGACUGUAGUCUGCAACUCGACUACAUGAAGCUGGAAUCGCUAGUAAUCGCGAAUCAGAAUGUCGCGGUGAAUACGUUCCCGGGUCUUGUACACACCGCCCGUCACACCAUGGGAGUUGGGAAUGCCCGAAGCCCAGUGACCUAACCGUAAGGGAGG
rnacentral:rRNA from 1 species